rnacentral:rRNA from 1 species
GAUGAACGCUGGCGGCGUGCUUAACACAUGCAAGUCGAACGGAAAGGCCGAAGCUUGCUUCGGUACUCGAGUGGCGAACGGGUGAGUAACACGUGGGUGAUCUGCCCUGUACUUCGGGAUAAGCUUGGGAAACUGGGUCUAAUACCGGAUAUGACGAUCUCUUGGAUGGGGUUGUGGAAAGCUUUUGCGGUAUGGGAUGAGCUCGCGGCCUAUCAGCUUGUUGGUGGGGUAAUGGCCUACCAAGGCGUCGACGGGUAGCCGGCCUGAGAGGGUGUACGGCGACAUUGGGACUGAGAUACGGCCCAGAGUCUUACGGGGGGCAGUAGUGGGGAAAAUUGCACAAAGGGCGCAAGCGUGAGGCAGAGACGCGGCGUGGGGGAUGACGGCCUUCGGGUUGUAAACUCCUUUCGCAAUCGACGAAGCCUUUUGGUGACGGUAGGUGGAGAAGAAGCACCGGCUAACUACGUG